AGCGCCGGUAGGCUCUCUUGAGGGGCCUGGAUGGAAGUCGGCCCCAGCCCGUCAUGGCGCAGGCAAGUGUUUAUAGUGGCGCCAUCUUCUCUUGGCUCAUGCUGCCGACCGGAACUCGUUCUUGAUUCACUUGGACGGUUUCCUCUAGAGUCUGGGUUGAUGGGUGGUCUUCAGGACAGCAUGUGGGUAGUCUUAAGCCACUUGGCGGUGACCGAAAAAUCCGAGGUGGUAGUGUGGGGAUUCGAACCCGCGUCGUCCAUCACGAGGUGAAUGUAGGCCCAGCCCAGCAGUACCCAUACGUAUCUCACUCUUUAAUUCAUCACAUGCAGUAUUUCUUCUAUUUUUCUUAGUUAUCAUUACGAGGUUAGGCUCUGAAAUGUCUUUUCCCCAGAUCUCUUAUAAUUCGUGACUCUUUUUUGCUUCAGCGUUUUUCGUUUUUUUUUUUUUUUUUUCCCCUUCUUACUUAUCAUGUCGAGGUUAGGCUUUCAAUGGCUGUCCACCAGUUGUUUCCAUUCGUCACUCAUUUUUAAGUCCAUCAUCGUUCUUCAUAGCUUUUUAGGUGCUGCCUAAAGCCCCGGUAGGUUUUCUUGAGGGCCUCUUGAACGACCCCAGCCCGUUAGUGGCGCAGGCGAAUUUUAUUUAUAGUGGCUGCCGUGAUGUAUGAUUCCUGCAGCUUGGCCUAUGCUGCCCUCCGGUGUUCUACUUGAUCGAAGUCGCUGAAGUUAGGGUUGGUUGAAGAUCUUGGCAGCAUGUGGGUAAUAUUCCUCCACUGGGCGAUGGUUUGAAAAAUUAGCGUGUUUCGGUGGGUCUCGAACUUACUUUGGUCCACGGACUCACCACGCCGGCACGCUAAACAGGUCACCGCCUCCUCCAUAUUAAGAGUGCAGACUUUUUAUGUUCUACAAUUGUCUCUUCAUUAAUUCUCCGGAGAUAAUUUGAUUUAGGUGUGAAAGGGAAUGGCACUCAUACCUCACUCACUCAAGCUCAUCUUUUAUUAUCUUUUUAUUUCUUCAAUUUUAUUUAUUAUUUCACUUCAUUCUUAACAGCUCAUCAGAAGAGGUUAAACAAAUUCAAGUGACUGAUUUCAACAUUAUUUUUCUUUAUUGAAUAGAACAGUUAAAGUCUAGUAAUUAUGUAAAUUCUAAGACUAGGAAUGUUAAAGAAAGACUUACUGUGGAAAUCAUGAGAAGUGUAGCAAUAGUAGUAGUAGUAGUAUAGUAGUAGUAGUAGUAGUAGUAGUAUAAGCAGUAGUAGUUGUAGUUGUAAUAUUUUUUGUUGUAAGAAAUGAUGGAAGGAAAGAAGAGAAGUAAUGAUGGACAGAUAAAGGGUAGAAACAAAUGAACAAAGAAACAAAAGGAAAAAAAAAAUAA